CCUACGGGAGGCAGCAGUGGGGAAUAUUGCACAAUGGGGGAAACCCUGAUGCAGCGACGCCGCGUGAGUGAAGAAGUAUUUCGGUACGUAAAGCUCUAUCAGCAGGGAAGAAAAAAAGUCCUUUGGACUUUGGACGGUACCUGACCAAGAAGCCCCGGCUAACUACGUGCCAGCAGCCGCGGUAAUACGUAGGGGGCAAGCGUUAUCCGGAUUUACUGGGUGUAAAGGGAGCGUAGACGGCAGCGCAAGUCUGGAGUGAAAUGCCGGGGCCCAACCCCGGAACUGCUUUGGAAACUGUGCAGCUGGAGUGCAGGAGAGGUAAGCGGAAUUCCUAGUGGAGCGGGGAAAUGCGUAGAGAUUAGGAGGAACACCAGUGGCGAAGGCGGCUUACUGGACUGCAACUGACGUUGAGGCUCGAAAGCGUGGGGAGCAAACAGGAUUAGAUACCCGAGUAGUC
rnacentral:rRNA from 1 species